rnacentral:rRNA from 1 species
GAUAAACGCUGGCGGCGUGCAUGAGACAUGCAAGUCAUACGGACGAGCUUGCUCGUUAGUGGCGAACGGCUGAGUAACGCGUAGGUGACCUGCCCCGAAGUGGGGGAUAACUGCCCGAAAGGGUGGCUAAUACCGCAUGUGGCGACGUGUUCAAUCACGUCAUCAAAGCCGCGAGGCGCUUCGGGAGGGGCCUGCGUCCGAUUAGCUCGUUGGUGGGGUAACGGCUCACCAAGGCGACGAUCGGUAGGUGGUCUGAGAGGACGAUCACCCAGACUGGGACUGAGACACGGCCCAGACUCCUACGGGAGGCAGCAGUCGGGAAUUUUGCUCAAUGGGGGAAACCCUGAAGCAGCAACGCCGCGUGCGGGAUGAAGGCCUUCGGGUUGUAAACCGCUUUUACCAGGGACGAUAAUGACGGUACCUGAUGAAUAAGUCACGGCUAACUACGUGCCAGCCGCCGCCGUAAUAC